CAUAACCUUUAGCUAAACCAGUAUUAAAGGCAACGCCUGCCCAGUGAAUAAUUAAACGGCCGCGGUACCCUAACCGUGCAAAGGUAGCGUAAUCAUUUGUCUAUUAAUUGUAGACCCGUAUGAAAGGCAUAAUGAGGGUUUAACUGUCUCUUUUAGUAAAUCAAUUAAACUGAUCUCCUAGUCCAAAAGCUAGGAUACCAACAUAAGACCAGAAGACCCUGUGAAACUUUAACUAAAAUAUUAAAACCUAUAAUAUCUACUUUAGGUUGGGGCGACCUUGGAAAAUAAAAGAACUUCCACAUACACAUUAUACAUAAUGUACCACCGGCCAACAAGCCUACAACGACCCAGCACAGCUGAUAAUUGAACCAAGCUACUCCAGGGAUAACAGCGCUAUCUUCUUCAAGAGCCCAUAUCAAAAAGAAGGUUUACGACCUCGAUGUUGGAUCAGGACAUCCUAAUGGUGCAACCGCUAUUAAGGGUUCGUUUGUUCAACGAUUAAUAGUCCUACGUGAUCU
rnacentral:rRNA from 1 species